rnacentral:rRNA from 1 species
UGGGGAAUAUUGGACAAUGGGCGCAAGCCUGAUCCAGCCAUGCCGCGUGAGUGAUGACGGCCUUAGGGUUGUAAAGCUCUUUUCUCCGGGACGAUAAUGACGGUACCGGAGGAAUAAGCCCCGGCUAACUUCGUGCCAGCAGCCGCGGUAAUACGAAGGGGGCUAGCGUUGCUCGGAAUCACUGGGCGUAAAGGGCGCGUAGGCGGCGUUUUAAGUCGGGGGUGAAAGCCUGUGGCUCAACCACAGAAUGGCCUUCGAUACUGGGACGCUUGAGUCUGGUAGAGGUUGGUGGAACUGCGAGUGUAGAAGUGAAAUUCGUAGAUAUUCGCAAGAACACCGGUGGCGAAGGCGGCCAACUGGACCAGUACUGACGCUGAGGCGCGAAAGCGUGGGGAGCAAACAGG